GCCGAUGUAGCUCAGUUGGUAGAGCAGCGCAUUCGUAAUGCGCAGGUCGGAGGUUCAACCCCUCUCGUCGGCU
rnacentral:tRNA from 1 species